AGGAGAGUAUCCUAAGGCGUUUGAGAGAACUCGGGAGAAGGAACUCGGCAAAUUUGAACCGUAACUUCGGGAUAAGGUUCGCCUACGCAAGUAGGCCGCAGUGAAGAGGGGGUUGCGACUGUUUAUCAAAAACACAGCACUCUGCAAACACGAAAGUGGACGUAUAGGGUGUGACUCCUGCCCGGUGCUGGAAGGUUAAUUGAUGGGGUCAGCCGCAAGGCGAAGCUCUUGAUCGAAGCCCCAGUAAACGGCGGCCGUAACUAUAACGGUCCUAAGGUAGCGAA
rnacentral:rRNA from 1 species